GACCCGUCUUGAAACACGGACCAAGGAGUCUAUCUAGUAUGCGAGUAAAUGGAUAGUUAAUGAAAUCUAUUUGCGCAAUAAACGUAACUGUAUUUAUGGGAUUACGAUUAAUAGAUUAGCAAUAAUUGUUUUUCUUCCAUCCCGGGGUAUUUUUAUCAACAUAUGCCGUUAAAAAGUAUAUGGAAAAUAUNCCAUGAGCAUACUGGAUACGACCCGAAAGAUGGUGAACUAUGCCUGAUCAGGUCGAAGUCAGGGGAAACCCUGAUGGAGGACCGAAGCAGUUCUGACGUGCAAAUCGAUUGUCAGAAUUGGGCAUAGGGGCGAAAGACCAAUCGAACCAUCUAGUAGCUGGUUCCUUCCGAAGUUUCCCUCAGGAUAGCUGGUGCAUAGAAUGUUUGUAUAACAAUUCAUAUCUGGUAAAGCGAAUGAUUAGAGGCCUUAGGAACGAAAUGUUCUUAACCUAUUCUCAAACUUUAAAUGGGUAUGUAAGUUAACAUACUUGAAUGAUGUUAGCCAUUAGUCGCACUUGUGCGGCACGUAAGAUUGUUAUGCGCCCAGUGGGCCAAGUUUUGGUAAGCAGAACUGGUGCUGCGGGAUGAACCGAUCGCAUUGUUAAGGCGCCCAAAUAAACGACGCAUCAUCGAUACCAUGAAAGGUGUUGAUUGCUGAAGACAGCAGGACGGUGGACAUGGAAGUUGUCAUCCGCUAAGGAGUGUGU
rnacentral:rRNA from 1 species